rnacentral:lncRNA from 1 species
GUAAAUGUUUCGGAUUUAAAAAUCAGGCUGAAAUUUCAGAAACAGAAGCUCACUCUGGGAUCAGUUCUGUAGGGUUUCAGCUGAAAAAUCAGAAGCCACACAGGCUUGCUGGAACACACAGCUGCAUUUCCAGCUCUGAUUUUAAAUGUGCUCUAUCUGGAUCCAUAUUCUGCACAAUCUGCCUCUUGUGAUGAAGAUGAAAAUGGUUACCUUAAAGUUCUCUUCGGUCAGGCCUUCUUCAGUUUUAGCAUCUCUAAUCAUUGCAGC